rnacentral:tRNA from 1 species
ACAUUGGUGUUUCAGUGGUAGAAUUUUCACCUUCCAUGCAGGAGACCUGGGUUUGAUUCCUAGCCAUUGUA